rnacentral:rRNA from 1 species
UGGGGAAUAUUGCACAAUGGGGGAAACCCUGAUGCAGCGACGCCGCGUGAACGAAGAAGGUAUUCGUAUCGUAAAGUUCUGUCCUAUGGGAAGAUAAUGACAGUACCAUAGAAGAAAGCUCCGGCUAAAUACGUGCCAGCAGCCGCGGUAAUACGUAUGGAGCGAGCGUUGUCCGGAAUUAUUGGGCGUAAAGGGUACGCAGGCGGUUUAAUAAGUCGAAUGUUAAAGAUCGGGGCUCAACCCCGCAAAGCAUUGGAAACUGAUAAACUUGAGUAGUGGAGAGGAAAGUGGAAUUCCUAGUGUAGUGGGGAAAUACGUAGGUAUUAGGAGGAAUACCAGUAGCGAAGGCGACUUUCUGGACACAAACUGACGCUGAGGUACGAAAGCGUGGGGAGCAAACAGG